rnacentral:rRNA from 1 species
AGCAGCCGCGGUAAUUCCAGCUCCAAUAGCGUAUAUUAAAGUUGUUGCAGUUAAAAAAGCUCGUAGUUGAAUUUCGGGGUCAGUAGGUUGGUCGUGCCACCGGUACGUACUGGUCUCACUGAUUCCUCCUUCCUGACUGGGCUGUAAUGCCAUUAAUUUGGUGUUGCAGGGAAUCUGGACUGUUACUUUGAAAAAAAUUAGAGUGUUUAAAGCAGGCUAACGCUUGAAUACAUUAGCAUGGAAUAAUGAAAUAGGACGUUCGAUCCUAUUUUGUUGGUUUCUUAGGAUUGACGUAAUGAUUAAUAGGGAUAGUUGGGGGCAUUAGUAUUUCAAUUGUCAGAGGUGAAAUU